rnacentral:rRNA from 1 species
AGAGUUUGAUCCUGGCUCAGAGUUAACGCUGGCGGCGUGCCUAACACAUGCAAGUCGAGCGAAGAGUGGCGGAAUAUUGCGCUCUUAGCGGCAGACGGGUGAGUAACACGUAAACUAUCUGCCCUCGAAUGGGAGACAACCUGGCGAAAGCCUGGCUAAUACCCCAUAUAAUCUUCCCGGAGCAUUCCGGGGGGAUGAAAGGCCCGCAAGGGUCGUUCGAGGAGGAGUUUGCGGCCUAUCAGCUAGUUGGCGGUGUAACGGACCACCAAGGCUAUGACGGGUAGCCGAUCUAAAAGGAUGACCGGCCACAAGGGCACUGAGACACGGGCCCUACUCCUACGGGAGGCAGCAGUGGGGAAUUUUGGACAAUGGACGAAAGUCUGAUCCAGCGACGCCGCGUGAAGGACGAAGGUUUUCGGAUCGUAAACUUCUUUUACAGGGGACGAACAUCCGCAAGGAUUUGACGGUACUCUGUGAAUAAGCCACGGCUAACUACGUGCCAGCAGCCGCGGUAAUACGUAGGUGGCGAGCGUUACUCGGAAUUACUAGGCGUAAAGCGCGUGUAGGCGGGAGCUUAAGUUCGCUGUUAAAUCUCAUAGCUCAACUAUGAAAUGCCGGCGAAUACUGGGCUUCUUGAAUUCGGUAGAGGAAACUGGAAUUCCAGGUGUAGCGGUGAAAUGCGUAGAUAUCUGGAAGAACGCCAAAGGCGAAGGCAGGUUUCUGGGCCGCAAUUGACGCUGAGACGCGAAAGCUAGGGGAGCAAACAGGAUUAGAUACCCUGGUAGUCC